rnacentral:lncRNA from 1 species
GGUGGAUUUGCAGCUGGUGCUCUUCAGACUAGGACUAGUUGCUGUUGCGGUAGAGGUGCUGGUGCUGGUACUGAUGAAGGUGAAGUGGAGGAAGAUGUUCCUUUACCACGCGGGCGCUUGCUAGUAGCUGCGUGUUGCGGUUGCUUUCGACGUGAUUGAUCGCGGUCCCUCAUAUUACCUAAUGUAAUGAAUCAUUAGCAUUCGAAUAAGAAAUCAAGUUAAUCAUAAAUUAUACCGAAAAUUAAAUAGCAUAAUGGCUAUAAUUUGACU